rfam:Echinostoma caproni strain Egypt genome assembly, scaffold: ECPE_scaffold0006466
GCACUGCUGAUGAGUCCCAAAAAGAACGAAACAGCUGUCCAGUGC